AUUAACAGACAUCCACACAUACAAGAUGGUUAGAGCCACGUGAAUAGAUGAUACCACCGGGAAAGGAAACAGAGAGAAAAGCAAUGAGCUAAGGCAGAGCCCCGAGGGACCCAGCCUCCAGUGGAUGGGCAGGGGGAAAGGGAUGCAUGAAACAGCCUGGGAACCUAAGACCCGAAGAAGAGAAGAGCUCUAAAGAGGCCAAGGAAAUGGAGAAUCUCAAGAAGCUGUAAGAGGGCUGCAAUAAAACUGGGUCUGGUGGAGGUUGAGAAAUUCAUUGAGCCAACAUUGAAAGAGACAGGAAAAUGGCUGCUGCCUUCAGAAGAAACAGUUGGAGAGGAGAAGGAAAUUCUCUGAAUACUUCUAUAGGUGAGCUCACAGACCUGCGUGGAUACAACAGGCUUGACUCCCACAAUAUCUUACCAAAAUAUUACCUGCAGACUUCUGUUUACUUCGCUAUGCAAGUUUCAGGGAUUUGCCCUUGGAGAACUGCAGCCAGCCCUCUGAGAUGCCAGCCCUGCACCCUCACUAGACAUCUAUCAAAGGUCAUAAUAUCCAAAGCCACAUGUGGAGUCUUCAAUUUGAAGUCAGCAUGUUAAAGGGAACAACCUCUUUGAUCUCAGCUGCAGCAAAUUCUUCCUCGACACGUCUCCACAGGCAAGGGAAAUAAAAGCAAAAAUUAACUAUUGGGACUGCAUCAAGAUAAAAAGCUCUGCACAGCAAAGGAAACAACAAAACUAAAAGGCAACCAGUGGAAUGGGAGGGGAUAUUUGCAAAUGACAUAUCAGAUAAAAGGUUGGUAUCCAAAAUCUAUAAAGAACUUACCAAACUCAACACCUGAAAAAAAAUAAUCCAGUGAAGAAAUGGGCAGAAGACAUGAAGACACUUUUCCAAAGACGACAUCCAGAUGGCUAACAGACAUGUGAAAAGUGCUCAAUGUCACUCAUGAUCAGGGAAUACAAAUCAAAAGCACAUUGAGAUACCACCUCACACCAGUCAGAGUGGCUAAAAUUAACAAUACAAGAAAUAAUAGAUUUUGGCAAGGAUGUGGAGAAAGGGAAACCUUCUUACACUGUUGGUGGGAAUGCAAACUGGUGCGGCCGCUUUGGAAAACAGUGUGUAGUUUCCUUAAAAAAUUAGAAAUAGAAUUAACCUAUGACCCAGCAAUAGCACUGCUAGGAAUUUAUUCAAAAGAUACAGGAGGGCUGAUUCAUAGGGGCACAUGAUUAUAGGAGUGCUUUCAGCAAUAGCCAGAUUAUGGAAAGAGCCGAAAUGUCCAUCAAGUGAUGAAUGGGUAAAGACGUGGUUUGCAUAUACAAUGACAAUGAGAAAGAAUGAAAUCUUGCCAUUUGCAACGACAUGGAUGGUAACUGGAGGGUAUUAUGCUCAGUGAAAUAAUUCAGUCAGAGAAAGACAUAUAUGUUUUCACACCUGUGGAAUUUGAGAAACUUAACAGAAGACGAUGGGAGAAAGGAAGGAAAACACAGGUUACCAACAGAAAGGGAGGCAAACCAUGAGAGACUCUUAAACACAGAGAACAAACUGAGAGUUGAUGGUUGGGUGGGGGGGGGGAAUGGGAGAUGGGCAUUAAGGAGGGUAUUAAGGAGGGAUGAGCACUGGGUAUUUUAUGUAAGUGAUGAAUCACGGGAAUCUACUCCAGAAGCCAAGAGCACAUUGUACACACUGUGUGUUAGCUAGCUUGAGACUGAAUUAUUUUAAACAUUUUUGAAAGUUGUACAUUUUGUAUUUGUUUUACUGCAGGUAAUUUGCUGCAUUUUGAUAACAUUGACUAUUCAGCCAAAAAAAAAAAAAAAAGGCAAAUCAGCCAUUUGUCCUCAGAUAUCAGGGUCCCCUUCUUAACUUAGCUUUGCCAAUGAAAUUAUUCCCUUAGUUACUCAGAUGUGGUGAAACCUGAAGGGAAUUCACAUAUUUCUGAUUCAUUCCUUUUCAAAAAAUGGAACUCAAAUCCACAUAACAUAGAAUUCAGCAUUUUACCAAUUUUAAAGUAUCCAAUGUAGUGACUUUCUGUAUAUUUACCAUGUUGUACAACCAUCACCACUAUCUCAUUCCAGAACAUUUCCAUCUCCCUAAAAGAAAUCAUGUACUUCUUAAUUCCCUCCUCCUCCCGUUCCCUGGCAACUAUUAAUCUUUAUUCUGUCUCUAUGGAUUUGGCUAUUUUGGACAUUUCUGUAAAUGGAAUAAUAGAAUAUGUGACCUUUUGUGUCUGAAUUCUUUUACUUAAUAUAAUGUUUUUCAGGUUCAUCCAUGUUAGAGCAUGUAUCCAUAUUUCAUUUUAAUGGCUGCAUAAUAUUCCAUUAAUGGCUAGACCACACUUGGUUAUUUACAUUUUUGUACAGCCAUCACCACUGUCCAUCUUCAGAAUUCUUUUCAUCUUCUAAAACUGAAGUUCAUAAUCACUGAAUAGUAACCCGUCUUUCCUCUCGCUGCCCAGCCCCUGGCAAUCACCAUUCUACUUUCUGUGUCCAUGAAUUUGACUUCUCUAACUUCCUCACAUAAGUGGAAUCAUAGAGCAUUUUCCCUUCUAUGACUGGCUUAUUUCACUCAGCACAGUAUCCUAAGACUUCAUCCAGGUUGUAACUUGGGUCCAAAUUUCCUUCCUUUUUAAGACUGGAAAAUAUUCCAUUGCACACAUGUACCACAUCUUUUUAAAAAAUUUAUUUUAAUGUUUAUUCACGUUUGAGGCAGAGUAUGAGCAAGGGAGGGGCAGAGAGAGAGGACACAGAAUCCAAAACAGGCUCCAGGCUCUGAGCUGUCAGCAGAGAACUUGAUGCAGGGCUUGAACCCAUGAACCGUGAGAUCAUGCCUGAGCUGAAGUCAGGCGCUUAACCAACUAAGCCUCUCAGGUGCCCCCGCCACAUCUUGUUUAUCCACCUAUCGAUGGACACUUGAAUUGCUUCCACCUUUAGGUGACUGUAAAUAGUGCUGCUAUGACCAUGGGUGUAAAAACAUGUUUGAGUUCCUGCUUUCAGUUCUUUGGAGGUAUAUAUAUCCAGAAGUGAAAUUAUUGGAUCAUAGGGUAAUUCCGUUUUGAAAUUUUGGAGAACAACUGAACUGUUUUCCACAGCUGCUGCACCAUUUUACAUUCCCACCAAUGGCGCACAAGAAUUUCCAUUUCUCCAUGUCCUCACCAACACUUGUUGCUUUCUGUUGUCCUGCUUGGUUUUGGCUUUCUUUUUGGAACAAGCUCUACUGGUAAGUUUCAAGUGGAGUAAUGCCAUUGUAACAAUAAUCUAUCCAUAGUAUUUUACUAUAUUUGAUGGUAUUGUACAUGGAAUUGUUUUUUUUUUCAUAUUUUUGAAUCUUUCUUUUUGAGAGAGAGACAGAGUAUGAGUGGGGGAGGAACAGAGAGAGAGGGAGACACAGAAUCUGAAGCAGGCUCCGGGCUCUAGGCUGUCAGCACAGAGCCCGACGAGGGACCUGAACUCAAUAACUGUGAGAUCAUGAUCUGAGUUGAAGUCGACUAAGGCACCCCAGCACCCCUGGAAUUGUUUUAUUUUAUUUUAUUUUUUUAUUAAAAAACUUUAUUAUUAUUAUUUAUUAUUAUUAUUAUUGAGACAUAAACAGAGCAUGAGUGAGGGAGCGGCAGAGAGAGAGGGAGACACAGAAUCUGAAGCAGGCUCCAGGCUCUGAGCUGUCAGCAUAGAACCCGAAGUGGGGCUCGAACCCAUGAACCAUGAGGUCAUGACCUGAACCAAAGUCGGCCACUUAAUCGCCCCUGGAAUUGUUUUUUUAAUUUCAUUUUUGGGUUUUUCAUUUCUAGUGUAUAGAAAUACAACUGAUUUUUAUAUACUGAUCUCAUAGCCUGCAAGAUUGCUGAAUUUACUAGUUCUACUUGUGUGUAUAUCGACAUGUAUGUGGGUGUAUAUCCCAUCUGUAAAAUGGAUGAUAAAAGUACCUAUUGUUAUGAGGAUUAAAUGAGUUAACACUUGUCGAGUGAUACAUACUGGAGCUGGCAUAUAAAAAACACUAGACAAUUGUUAGACACUAAAUAUUUAUUCGACAGUAAAUAUUAAUUGAAGUUCUAUUACAUAUUUAUCUGUAGGUGUACAUAUUUAUCUGUAUUUAUAAGACUGACAACAGGUGUCUUAGUCAACAUGGACUGCUUUAACAAAGCACCAUAGACUCGGGGGGGCUUAAACAACAAACAUUUAUUUCUCACAGUGCUGGAGGCUGGCAAGCCCAAGAUCAAGGUGCCAGCAGCUUCAGUGUCUGUUGAAGACAGUCUCUUUGAUUUGCACAUGCCCCUCUUCUGUAUCCUCAAUGGCAGAAAGAGAUCAUCAUCUUCUCUUAGAAGUUCACGAAUUCCAUUCAUGAGGGUUCUGCCCUCGGGACCUUAUUACCUCCCAAAGGCCCCACCUCCAAUUACUAGCACAGUAGUGAUUAGAGCUUCAACGUGACUUUGGUGGGCAGGAGGGAUAAACAUUUAGUCCAUAGCAACAGGUAAGAAACCUGAUCUUACAAAACUUAUGUGAAAUAUCCCAAACCAUUCAUACUCAGAUUGCUAUUUUUCAGAUAAUUUCUCCUGGGAAACAAUUUUUCAUGGAUUUCUCAUGUUGCUUCCUCUCUUGCAAGCAGAGGUCCAGAUGGCCUGAUUUUCCGACGGUCUCCCUCAAGAGCAGAGAAUUGGUUUGUGUAUUGUCUAGCACAAUAAAGACAAUAUCUAUAUCCACCGUCCUUCCCCCCCACCCUGCAAACGUCAGGUAGGGAUUCUUGCAGAUCAUGAUAAAAGAUUUGAGUUCCUUGGCUUGGGGUUCCGCAGCCAUGGCAGAGAUGGCAUUCACUCUGUAUCACCUCUAUGGGGCCUGAGGAGCAAGGAGAAUGGAUGUUAAACUAAAACUCAUGCUGCUCUCAGUGCUGUGGAUAAUAAAGUUCUUUGUCUCUGCUCAGGAGUCUUGUGUCUUCCUCCAGCAUCCUCGAAAGGAGCUAACUUUUUGGAUUGUGGGUAGGGUAGAAUGUCAGACCCUUCACAGCUUGUGACAACUUCCAUCCAGUAUGCCAUUACAAGGGUAUCUCCUUAAAUCUAACUUCUACCUGGUACAUCUACAUUUCUUUUUCUGGCUUUUAGGCUCCUCCAUACCUCCCCAACUGAACUGUCCAUCUCCUCCUGAAGAAGACCUAUGUCAUAGGCCAGGAUUUUCUAACAUGGAUUACCAUACUCAUUUCUAUUUCUAACAUGGGGUUCAUGUUUC
ensembl:lncRNA